GUUGGAAUCAAUCUCGGCCCGUCCAUUCUUUCUAUUUCUAAUCUGCGAGGGGGGCUUCAACAACAGCCUCGCUCCUUCUCAACAGCGCAGCCGCGACCCUUUCCCGGAUCCAUCGUGUCCCUCGGAUCGACUCAGGGUCUGCUCAUGCACUUCACCGUGGCGGUCAGUAGCAGACCACGGGGGCGACCACAAAAGCAGCAAAGCCCCAUGCCCAAGUGUCACGUCUUUGUCUUGAAGGGUCACUUUACUGUUGGUGCAAAGGCGAGACGGACAUGGGAAAGGGAGGUGGGUGCCGCGUGGAGGAGGGAGGCCACAACGGGCCAGGAAAGCGGUUCGGCGGCGGAGAGAGGCGUGGGAGAUAUGAGCGCUGGAAAGAGAGAUAGAGUCGAUCCGACAGAGGAGGGGAUGAAAGUGCCGGUCGUUGAGAGGCCGAGAAAGCCAACCAUGAGGAGGCAGAGGAUCAUUAUAACUCCUCCAGAUGGCAUAAAGCAUAGUACGUAUUAUUUAUCUGGUAUAGCAGACUUAACCGUGUAUACUAGCUGGUAAUAAUACUAUGCUUUAUGCCAUCUAGCAUAUUGUUACUUAAAUUGUUUCCAUGUAAACAAACCUAAUUUUUUA